AAGGAGCACAGUACCGAUUGCAGGCAAAUGUUCUGCACGGUCAGCUCAUGGGUGGAACGUUGAUAAUUCGGCCUGGUUCUGGGUCGGAGGCAUUGCGAGUACUGCUCCUCGGAGCGUGGAAAGCAUGAUCUCCGGACGGGAUCGGGUCGGGCACGCUGUUGGGUGUCUGAGGGAAUGAACCCCCUCAAGAUGCCGACCCCGGUGAAGAUCCGCGUGUAGCGGGUUGUGACGGGUGGUUGGUCGUUG
rnacentral:misc_RNA from 1 species